GUGCUCGCUUCAGCAGCACAUAUACUAAAAUUGGAACGAUACAGAGAAGAUCAGCAUGGCCCCUGCACAAGGAUGACAUGCAAAAAAAAAAAAAAAAAAGAAAGAAA
rnacentral:snRNA from 1 species